GUGGGGGUCAUCUUGGGUCUCCUGUCAGCACCACCCUAGUCAAGUUGCUUCUUCUUCUACUGAUUUUGGGUCCUAACUUGAAUAAUCUAUCGAUAUAUAGAAAUAAAGAGCUCUUUAGCCAGCUAAGCAUUCUCAAGGGCCUCAAUAUAGGUAGCAGGCCUCAUCAUAGCUACCCUACUAUAGAUGUUGACCUUCAUGACCUUUUAGAACUUCCUAGCCUUCUCACCUUCUGUGGCAAUCAACUCCGCAGCAAAGUGGGACAAUUGGAUGAAUCUUGAAGCAUAGUGGCUCGCAGUCAUGCUCCCUUGAUUAAGG
rnacentral:lncRNA from 1 species